UGCAUUAGCUAGUUGGUAAGGUAACGGCUUACCAAGGCAACGAUGCAUAGCCGACCUGAGAGGGUGAUCGGCCACACUGGAACUGAGACACGGUCCAGACUCCUACGGGAGGCAGCAGUAGGGAAUCUUCCGCAAUGGGCGAAAGCCUGACGGAGCAACGCCGCGUGAGUGAUGAAGGUCUUCGGAUCGUAAAACUCUGUUAUUAGGGAAGAACAUAUGUGUAAGUAACUGUGCACAUCUUGACGGUACCUAAUCAGAAAGCCACGGCUAACUACGUGCCAGCAGCCGCGGUAAUACGUAGGUGGCAAGCGUUAUCCGGAAUUAUUGGGCGUAAAGCGCGCGUAGGCGGUUUUUUAAGUCUGAUGUGAAAGCCCACGGCUCAACCGUGG
rnacentral:rRNA from 1 species